CUAAAUGUUCACAUUCCCGCCAUCAUCGGCUGCUCGUGGGGCUCGAGCGCAGAUAACAUCAUACCCGGCAAAACUCACGCACACCGACACUGCUCCACAUUGAAAGGAUAUAUUCAUUCUCCGGCGCUUUUUUUAAGGAAUCACUCUCCCGCAGGGCUUUUGUUGAAGAUCACUGGCCUCAUCUGUUUAUCCUCGAUUGUGUCCCGAGACGAAAUUUUGCGCCCCUCAUUCACUAAUGGCUGUCGCAGUGCCCAAGAUGACCAGCGGUGGCACUGUCCGCAUCCGCAUCAGGUGUGGGGAGUUGGGGACCACCAAAUGGAAAGAGGGAAUCUUUGAAAUCCACGAGAGGGACAACAAAAUAAACCUGUUAGUGAAGUUUAGCAGUGGUGGUGCUCCAAGGAGCUUUCAGCUGAAUCACAAUGUAAAGCAGGUUACGUGGGCUCCAAUGCACGGCCCGAACCGUGUGACUUUGACCCUGAAAGAUGCGAGUGUCGUCAUGAUGGACAAACUGCCAAUGUUGGUUGCAAAGAAAAUGAGGGAAUAUCUUGACAUGGUGAAGCAUGGGAAAACCGUUUUAAAGACAAACCAGGGAAGUGCCAGUUUUGGAUUAGUCCUUGGGAAUCGUACAUCACAGAAUGACUCUGGCCUCUCUCAGUCAGAAAAACAGACCACACCAAAGCGCCCGAGUCUUGACAUCAGAGAGGACGGCACACCCCGGAAGCCUCUCGGGAGUCCCAGUCGGGUAACUUCCACACCUAGCCGCAAUGGACUCUCAGAAAACAGGAGUGAGAAGAGGAAGAGGCUCAUGAACUCUGAUGGUGACAUGACUGAGGACUAUCCCAAAGAGAAUGACUCAUCUAGUAACAAUAAGGCCAUCACAGACACGUCUAGAAAGUUUCUGCUUAGCUGCAAAGAGAAGCUCAAGCAGUCAGAGGAGAACCGAGCAUCAGCUCCACUCAUUUCUGCCCCUCUUCAGCCAACAUCCUUUUAUGGGAGCAGAACAGGAACUAAAGACUACACACAAACCCAUUUAUUUUUGGACAGACCCAGCGGUACAGGCCAGAGUCCCUCUGCCAAAAGAAGCCUGAUUUUACCCAAUCACUCAACUCCCUUUAAAAAAGUGCGUCCAACUUUGGACUACGGUGGUUGGAACAAACCGAGGCUGUCCACAUUGGCCCAGCCACAACCUCCACUACAAGGAUUCUCCAACCUUGGGAACACGUGUUACAUGAACGCCAUCCUCCAGUCACUUUUCAGCCUGCCUUCAUUUUCAAAUGACCUGUUGAAGCAAGGAAUUCCAUGGAGGAGGGUCCCAAUCAAUGCUCUUCUGAGGCGUUUUGCUCACCUGCUGGCUAAGAAAGACAUCUCCUCUCCAGAGGUGAAGAAAGAUCUUUUGCGGCGAGUGAAGAAUGCCAUUUCCUCAACAGCUGAGCGUUUCUCUGGCUACAUGCAGAAUGAUGCCCAUGAGUUCCUGAGUCAGUGCUUGGACCAGCUGAAGGAGGAUGUGGAGAAGAUCAACAAAAGCUGGAAGAAUGAGCCCUCGGUCUGGGAGGAGCCACAGAGCACACGGUUAGCAGAGGAGGCAGAUACCUCACGAAUUUACACCUGCCCAGUAACGGUCAACAUGGAGUUUGAAGUGCAGCACACCAUAACGUGUAAAAGCUGUGGAGAGGUGGUGACAAAGCGAGAACAGUUCAAUGACCUGUCCAUCGACCUGCCUCGCAGAAAGAAAACGCUCCCUCUGAGAUCCAUACAGGAUUCUCUAGAUCUUUUCUUCAGGAUGGAGGAGAUUGAGUAUUCCUGUGAAAAGUGCUGCGGAAAAACAGCGACUGUCUCGCACAAAUUCAGCCGACUUCCCAGGGUACUGAUCCUCCAUCUCAAACGGUACAGCUACAACACCCAACUGUCUUUGAACAGCAAGCUGGGCCAGCAAGUGCUGAUCCCCAAAUAUCUCACGCUGCUCUCCCACUGCACAGACGCCACACGCCCUCCCCUCGGCCUCGGCUGGAGUGCCCAGACAGCCCUCUCCAGAACACUGAAGGUGUCACAGUCGGUCAAUUCUUCAACACUACGAAUAGGUUCUCAAAAGCCAGAGAGUUCAGCCAGUAUGUUGUGUGACUCUGAUAGUGAGGAGGAGCUCGUCAGAAAAGUUGGUCGCAAACUUCAACCAGAAGAUGAUAGGAUGGAAGAGGUACAGCACAGCAGGCAGGUAGAUCACUCCGAGUUUAAUGCCAUUAAUGAUGACGAGAUGCUGGCAGCUGUGCUGGAGAUGAGUCAUGACACCAGUCUCUCCGCAUGCCCUGACGACGAGCCAACCAGCAGUCCUGACACAGGAUUUGGAGAUACUGAUGGCCAGGAUCUGACUCAUCAUUUGGACCUGCUGGAUGGAGAGAAACAACCUCCUGAUGCUUUGGAGUCUCUGGAUCUGACAAUGGAUGAGAACAAGGAGAACCAGACCCCUGAUGGUGUGCAGGGAGAAUUGGACUGGGUGAAGCAGUACAGCUUAGACCAGGAGCGUGAGGAACAGGAGCUGCAGCAGGCCCUCGCCCAGAGCCUGCAGGAACAUGAGGCGAGAGAGAUGAGAGAAGAGGAUGAUCUGAAGAGAGCCACUGAGCUCAGCCUGCAAGAGUUCAAUAACUCUUUGCCUGAGCUGCUGUGCUCUGAUGAUGACUCUGGGAAUGAAGAUGGUCUGGAUAUGGAGUACAGUGAAGCUGAGGCUGAAGAGCUCAAGAAGAAUGCUGAGACUGGAGAACUUCCCAACUCUUUCAGACUCAUCAGUGUGGUCAGUCACAUUGGUAGCAGUUCUUCGUCAGGGCAUUACAUAAGUGAUGUCUAUGACAUGAAGAAACAGUCCUGGCUCACAUACAAUGAUCUGGAUGUCUCCCGCACACAAGAGUCUACCGUCCAGAGAGAUCGAGACAGGAGUGGAUAUAUCUUCUUCUACAUGCACAAAGAUGUUUUCGAGGAGCUGUCUGAGCUGGAAAAGGCAGGAGGGAAUGGUGACGCUGGCCGAACUGUGCUGCAGCCGUUAUGAGUCUCACCCCUCUCAACAUCCCAUCCAGGCUGAUCCUUCUACUGAUGAGAAGCUAAACUGAGCCAAGGGUUUGAGCAGGUUCAUGGAAGAGAUGGAAUUUGUUUGGAAAUUGUGUGUAUGGUGUUCUCUGAAACAGUGGUAUAAGCUCAAAAUAAGUGCUUAGUAUUCAGUCUUUGACUUCCUUAAACACAUUUUAAAAUAAAAUUUAUUUAGAAAAAAAAAAAACUGCUUGUUUCAUGAUAUGAUACAAGAACCAGAUGUUUCUAGUAGUGUAUUUCAGCAGCAAUCUUGGUUUUUCCAUGGCCAGCAAGUCCAUACAUUUCUGUAAAGAAUCCAUCCAAUGUCUAUUGUCACGUGUCCUAUGUACAUCUCUUUGUAAGUGGUUCGAGGUGGCGGCCAGUUAGCCUGUUGAACUCACUGAGAAUAUAACUUUCUUUCUGUAGCAUCUGUCAACAAAAGAUAAACAUACUUUGUGACACAUGCAGAUAUAUGUUUAUUACACGGCUCUCUGGAGUACUUGGUCAAUCGUGGCAUUCUGUGGUCAAAUAUUGUACAUUAACCACUAAACUGUAUAAUUUAGUGUUGUUUCAGGCAACAGAUGUUUUUUGUAUAACUCUGCUUUUCAUAUUAGAUUUGUUUUUAAUUCAAGUAAAUAUUUUGUCCAUUUUUAUAUAUAUAUAUAUAAUUUAUUUGGGGAAAAAGCAAGGUAAUGUACAAUCAGCCAGUCUUUAUCACAAAAUAAACCCAGACAAAGUGAUAUUUUUGUUUAUUUGAGGUAUUUUUUUUUUCUGGUAAUGACUGGCUGAUUGUACAUUACCUGGUCGAUUCUUACAAAACCUGUCAAAGAAAUGUCUAAAUGUAUUUAACCCUGUAUCGAUACAAAAGAAAUCAAUUAUAUUUUACAGUUAGGAUCAUUACGAUUUUUUGCAUUGACAAAUUAUUUUCAGGACACUUAAGCACAUUUACCCCGCAAUUCUCAUUACCACAACAUAGCCGGACAUUUCACUAUACCCGUUGUUUUCAAUAAUGAUUUUCACUACUGUAUCAGACAUGUUUUUCUGUAUUACAAUAAAAAAUGCUGUUUUUGUGCCAUGAUUUAUUUUUUUAAUUAAAAUAAGCAAAAAUGAAAGGCAGAACUGAGGGAGUACUACUAAGUUUCAAUACUUUACAAUUAAAUUAUUUUCAUGUUGCGA